CUAAAAAUGACAUAUCUUUUUCACAACUAAUUUCCAAUGCAAUGUCCCUACCAUUGUAAACGACGAUGCAUACAGAAUCUUCAAGAACACAUAUUAUUUUAAAGAGGCGUGAAGAGCUAAUCAUUUGUACUUUAUUUAUAGAUGGCAGAAAUAGCCGGAUCGUCAUCCAGAGAGGAAAUGCUGAAGGAAAGUGGGCCUCCCGCCAUACUUGGACAAGGUCCCAAUGUGUGGAUAAUAGGGAGCAGCUACAUUAGACGUGGGGAAGAAAGAGCCAGACACACCAUGGGAAGCAACCUGGGUCUCAAUUGCCGUGUGUGGUGGUUUGGCAAGGGUGGUCUGAGCCUCACCAGCCUCACCCAGACGACGAGACGGCGUACAGAGAGGAGGUCGAAAACCUGACAUCUUGGUGCCAGGAUAACAACCUCCAUCUCAACGUCAGCAAAACCAAGGAGCUGAUUGUGGAUUGCAGGAAGCAGCAAAGAGAGGGACACGCCCCCCAUCGCCAUCAAUGGGACUACGGUAGAGAGAGUCAGCAGCUUCAGGUUCCUCAGUGUCCAUCACGGAC